CCCGGCGGGCCCCCCCUGGCCCCGGCAGGGGUCCCGGGGUAGUCGCUGCCGCUGGCCAGGUCCAGGCAGCAGCUGCAGCAGUCCAGGCCGACCGGGGAGCGGCAGGCAUCCUCGGACAUCACCUCCAGGAGCACAGUCUAGCGCGCCUGGAGACAGAGGGAGGAGCCUGGAGACAGAGGGAGGAGACAGAGGGAGGCACCUGGAGACAGAGGGAGGAGCCCCACUGGGACCGAGGGGAGGAGCCCCGCUGGGACCGAGGGGAGGAGCCCCGCUGGGACCGAGGGGAGAUCCACCAUCUGGCUGGACUGUGAUCCCCCCAAGAGGUUAAGCAAUCUUAACUCGGCCCUUGGAGCUCCUGGGCCAUCUCUGCCAGAUCGUCUCUUGUUACUCACAGAGCUUUCCCGCAACUCCUGAACUGUUUCUACAACGCUGAUCCUGCCUGUUUCCGAACCCUCGUCUGUCUGACCACCCGCCUGUUGUCGAGUCCCUGCCGGCCUGUCUGCUUCCCUGUUUCCUGCUCCUCGGCUGCCUGUCUGCCCUCCCUUGCUGACCCCUCGCCUGCUGACCCCCCGAUGAUUCCCUGCCCACCUGUCGGUGACUUACUGUCUGCUCUCUGCCUGCCCGAUCCUGUACCGGAUUAAAUCCUUGAAACUG